rnacentral:rRNA from 1 species
CCUACGGGAGGCAGCAGUGAGGAAUAUUGGUCAAUGGACGAGAGUCUGAACCAGCCAAGUAGCGUGAAGGAUGACUGCCCUAUGGGUUGUAAACUUCUUUUAUAUGGGAAUAAAACGUUCCACGUGUGGGAUUUUGUAUGUACCAUAUGAAUAAGGAUCGGCUAACUCCGUGCCAGCAGCCGCGGUAAUACGGAGGAUCCGAGCGUUAUCCGGAUUUAUUGGGUUUAAAGGGAGCGUAGGUGGAUUGUUAAGUCAGUUGUGAAAGUUUGCGGCUCAACCGUAAAAUUGCAGUUGAAACUGGCAGUCUUGAGUACAGUAGAGGUGGGCGGAAUUCGUGGUGUAGCGGUGAAAUGCUUAGAUAUCACGAAGAACUCCGAGUGCGAAGGCAGUUCACUGGACUGCAACUGACACUGAGGCUCGAAAGUGUGGGUAUCAAACAGGAUUAGAUACCCCUGUAGUC